AGAUUGAACGCUGGCGGCAUGCCUUACACAUGCAAGUCGAACGGUAGAGUAGCAAUACUUGAGAGUGGCGAACGGGUGAGUAAUAUAUCGGAACGUGCCCAGUCGUGGGGGGAUAACGUAGAGAAAUUUACGCUAAUACCGCAUACGAUCUAAGGAUGAAAGCGGGGGACCGUAAGGCCUCGCGCGAUUGGAGCGGCUGAUAUCAGAUUAGGUUGUUGGUGAGGGUAAAAGCUCACCAAGCCGACGAUCUGUAGCUGGUUUGAGAGAACGACCAGCCACACUGGGACUGAGACACGGCCCAGACUCCGUACGGGAGGCAGCAGUGGGG
rnacentral:rRNA from 1 species